CCUANGGGUGGCAGCAGUCGAGAAUUUUUCACAAUGGGCGCAAGCCUGAUGGAGCGACGCCGCGUGGGGGAUGAAGGGUUUCGAUCCGUAAACCCCUGUCAUUUGCGAACAAACCUUAUGGGUGAACAGCCCAUGAAUUGAUUGUAGCGAAAGAGGAAGGGACGGCUAACUCUGUGCCAGCAGCCGCGGUAAUACAGAGGUCCCAAGCGUUGUUCGGAUUCACUGGGCGUAAAGGGUGCGUAGGCGGUCGGGUAAGUCUGACGUGAAAUCUUCGAGCUUAACUCGGAAACUGCGUCGGAUACUAUUCGGCUGGAGGAAUGGAGGGGAGACUGGAAUACUUGGUGUAGCAGUGAAAUGCGUAGAUAUCAAGUGGAACACCAGUGGCGAAGGCGAGUCUCUGGACAUUUCCUGACGCUGAGGCACGAAAGCCAGGGGAGCAAACGGGAUUAGAUACCCUGNUANUC
rnacentral:rRNA from 1 species